rnacentral:rRNA from 2 species
UUGACCUCGAAUCAGGUGAGGAUACCCGCUGAAUUUAA